rnacentral:sRNA from 1 species
CAACUUGCUGCGGGCAAAUCCAGUGAAUGUGAGUAUCAAUACCACCUGCAGUUAAAAUUUGUCCUUCACCCGCAAUCACUUCUGUUGCAGCCCCUAAAGGAAUCGUAAUGUCUGGUUGAAUAUCUGGAUUUCCAGCUUUUCCUAUUUUCCAGAUUCGGCCAUUUUUUAAGCCCACGUCAGCUUUAACAAUUCCCCACCAAUCCACAAUUAAAGCAUUGGUAAUGACCGUAUCAGCAACUUCAUCAGCUAAAAGCUGUGAUUGCCCCAUCCCGUCAC